rnacentral:rRNA from 1 species
GAUGAACGCUGGCGGCGUGCCUAAUACAUGCAAGUCGAGCGAACAGACGAGGAGCUUGCUCCUCUGACGUUAGCGGCGGACGGGUGAGUAACACGUGGAUAACCUACCUAUAAGACUUGGAUAACUUCGGGAAACCGGAGCUAAUACCGGAUAAUAUAUUGAACCGCAUGGUUCAAUAGUGAAAGACGGUUUUGCUGUCACUUAUAGAUGGAUCCGCGCCGCAUUAGCUAGUUGGUAAGGUAACGGCUUACCAAGGCAACGAUGCGUAGCCGACCUGAGAGGGUGAUCGGCCACACUGGGAAUGAGACACGGUCCAGACUCCUACGGGAGGCAGCAGUAGGGAAUCUUCCGCAAUGGGCGAAAGCCUGACGGAGCAACGCCGCGUGAGUGAUGAAGGUCUUCGGAUCGUAAAACUCUGUUAUUAGGGAAGAACAAAUGUGUAAGUAACUAUGCACGUCUUGACGGUACCUAAUCAGAAAGCCACGGCUAACUACGUG